rnacentral:tRNA from 7 species
GGAGAGGUGGAUGAGCGGUUUAAGUCGCACGCCUGGAAAGCGUGUUUAGGAUAAUAUCCUAACGAGGGUUCGAAUCCCUCCCUCUCCGCCA